AUUGAACGCUGGCGGCAUGCCUUACACAUGCAAGUCGAACGGCAGCAUGGAGAGCUUGCUCUCUGAUGGCGAGUGGCGAACGGGUGAGUAAAGCAUCGGAACGUACCGUGUAGUGGGGGAUAACGUAGCGAAAGUUACGCUAAUACCGCAUACGCACUGAGGUGGAAAGCAGGGGAUCGCAAGACCUUGCGCUAUACGAGCGGCCGAUGUCAGAUUAGCUAGUUGGUAGGGUAAAGGCCUACCAAGGCGACGAUCUGUAGCGGGUCUGAGAGGAUGAUCCGCCACACUGGGACUGAGACACGGCCCAGACUCCUACGGGAGGCAGCAGUGGGGAAUGUUGGACAAUGGGGGCAACCCUGAUCCAGCCAUGCCGCGUGAGUGAAGAAGGCCUUCGGGUUGUAAAGCUCUUUCGGCCGGGAAGAAAUCGCACAGGCUAAUACUCUGUGUGGAUGACGGUACCGGCAUAAGAAGCACCGGCUAACUACGUGCCAGCCGCCGCCGUAA
rnacentral:rRNA from 1 species